rnacentral:rRNA from 1 species
CCUACGGGUGGCUGCAGUAAGGAAUAUUGCGCAAUGGGCGAAAGCCUGACGCAGCGACGCCGCGUGGGGGAUGAAGGUCUUCGGAUUGUAAACCCCUUUCGGGAGGGAAGAUGGAGCGAGCAAUCGUUCGGACGGUACCUCCAGAAGCAGCCACGGCCAACUUCGUGCCAGCAGCCGCGGUAAUACGAAGGUGGCAAGCGUUGUUCGGAUUCACUGGGCGUACAGGGUGUGUAGGCGGUUUGGUAAGCCUUCUGUUAAAGCUUCGGGCCCAACCC